AACGAACGUUAGCGGCGCGCUUAACACAUGCAAGUCGCACGAGAAAGGGCUUCGGCCCCGGUAAAGUGGCGCACGGGUGAGUAACACGUGGGUAAUCUUCCCUAGAGCGGGGGAUAACAUUCCGAAAGGAGUGCUAAUACCGCAUAAGACCACGUCCUCGAAAGAGGAUGAGGUUAAAGCAGGCCUCUUCACGAAAGCUUGCACUCUAGGAUGAGCCCGCGGCCCAUCAGCUAGUUGGUAGGGUAACGGCCUACCAAGGCUAAGACGGGU
rnacentral:rRNA from 1 species